GUACACGCUGUGACUAGCAUAUCAAUAAGCGGAGGAAAAGAAACUAACAAGGAUUCCCUUAGUAACGGCGAGUGAAGCGGGAAGAGCUCAAAUUUGAAAUCUUAAAGGGUUUCCCUUUACGAAUUGUAGUUUAAAGAAGUGUUUUCUGUUAGAGUUUCGGUAAAAGUUCUUUGGAAUAGGACAUCAUAGAGGGUGAGAAUCCCGUAUUUGACCAUUACUUUUCAGCUUUGUGAUACACUUUCAAAGAGUCGGACUGUUUGGGAAUGCAGUCCAAAAUGGGUGGUAAAUUUCAUCUAAAGCUAAAUAUUGGCGAGAGACCGAUAGCGAACAAGUACCGUGAGGGAAAGAUGAAAAGAACUUUGAAAAGAGAGUUAAACAGUACGUGAAAUUGUCAAAAGGGAAGCGUUUGACACCAGUGUUGUUUUUCUGAAAAUCAAUUAAAGAACUGUUUAUGCUAAGCUGUUUAGACUUUAUCAGCUAACUGUUUAGUUUUGAGCUUUUCUUUAACGCACUUUUCAGUUAACAAGUCAACAUCAAUUUCUUUUGCUGUAAAAAAGCUUGAGGAAGGAGGCUUGAGAUUCGUCUUAAGUGUUUAUAGCCUCUUGCCUAUGCAGUCGGAGAGAUUGAGGUCUGCAGCGUAGAUCCUUCGGGGCUAAAUGCAUUUGUGCUAAGUUAUAGCAUUUUAUAGACAACUUGUUGACUAUAAUUAGUCUUGUAGCUUACUCGCUUAUGCUAUUUUACCUACGCUUAGGAUGUUGAGCGCAUGUCUCUCUCU
rnacentral:rRNA from 1 species